rnacentral:lncRNA from 1 species
UGAGAUCAGAGAGGAAAUGGAGAGUCAUCAUUUAAGGACCCAGAGGCCUUCGUGGGGAGUUUGGAUUCUACUCUGAACGAUGUGGGGAGCCAUCGGAGAACGACAUGCUCGGACUUUAAAAAGGAUCACACUGGCGGCUGUAAGGAAAAAUGACUGGCGGAGGAAGCGGUGGAAGCUGGGAGACCCUGAAGAGGCAACUGUAGACUUCCAGGGAUGAGGUUCUGCAAGAAGCAGGCACCCAGGAUCCGCUGCACCCAGCACCAGCCAGGCACAAUAUUAAAGAACAGCACAACAGGGCAGCACGACAUUUGCCACUGGGGCUGAGGCCCGGAGUCCACCAGUCACGGCCAAAGACAUAAGAAUUGCUCACAAUUGCUGUGUUUCCUUUGUGCUAGAAAUUGCUUUAAACACUUUCCGGUAUUACCUCCUUAAAUCCCCAGGCCAGUCAAAUAAAGUAGACACUAUUAUUAUCCUCAUUUUUCAGAUAUGGAAACUGAGGCACAAAGAGCUUUAUGACUUGCCCAGGACCUCACAGCUGGUGUGACGCAGACGCCCUCUUGUGGGAGGGCGUGGCGGUCUUCCCGGGUCUCCGCAGCUUCCGGUCUCGCUC